rnacentral:rRNA from 1 species
UCAGGACGAACGCUGGCGGGUGCCUAAUACAUGCAAGUCGAGCGAGUUUNUUCGGAGGCUAGCGGCGGACGGUGANUAAAAUGUAGGCAACNUGCUUNUCAGANUGGGAUAACAUAGGGAAAUUUAUGCUAAUACCGGAUAGGUUUUUGGAUCGCAUGAUCCGAAAAGAAAAGAUGGCUUCGGCUAUCACUGGGAGAUGGGCCUGCGGCGCAUUAGCUAGUUGGUGGGGUAACGGCAUACCAAGGCGACGAUGCGUAGCCGACCUGAGAGGGUGACCGGCCACACUGGGANUGAGACACGGCCCAGACUCNUACGGGAGGCAGCAGUAGGGAAUUUUCCACAAUGGACGAAAGUCUGAUGGAGCAACGCCGCGUGAACGAUGAAGGUCUUCGGAUUGUAAAGUUCUGUUGUUAGGGACGAAUAAGUACCGUUCGAAUAGGGCGGUACCUUGACGGUACCUGACGAGAAAGCCACGGCUAACUACGUGCCAGCAGCCGCGGUAAUACGUAGGUGGCAAGCGUUGUCCGGAUUUAUUGGGCGUAAAGCGCGCGCAGGCGGCUAUGUAAGUCUGGUGUUAAAGCCCGGGGCUCAACCCCGGUUCGCAUCGGAAACUGUGUAGCUUGAGUGCAGAAGAGGAAAGCGGUAUUCCACGUGUAGCGGUGAAAUGCGUAGAGAUGUGGAGGAACACCAGUGGCGAAGGCGGCUUUCUGGUCUGUAACUGACNCNNAGGCGGGNAAGCGUGGGA